AGUGAACGCUGGCGGUAGGCCUAACACAUGCAAGUCGAACGGCAGCACAGUAAGAGCUUGCUCUUACGGGUGGCGAGUGGCGGACGGGUGAGGAAUACAUCGGAAUCUACUUUUUCGUGGGGGAUAACGUAGGGAAACUUACGCUAAUACCGCAUACGACCUACGGGUGAAAGCAGGGGAUCUUCGGACCUUGCGCGAUUGAAUGAGCGGAUGUCGGAUUAGCUAGUUGGCGGGGUAAAGGCCAACCCAGGCGAGGAUCCGUGGCUGGUCUGAGAGGAUGAUCAGCCACACGGGAACUGAGACACGGUCCAGACGCCUACGGGAGGCAGCAGUGGGGAAUGUUGGACAAUGGGCGGAAGCCUGAUCCAGCCAUACCGCGUGGGUGAAGAAGGCCUUCGGGUUGGAAAGACCGUUUGUGGGGAAAGAAAAGCAGCAGGUUAAUACCCCGCGGUUCUGACGGUACCCAAAGAAUAAGCACCGGCUAACUUCGUG
rnacentral:rRNA from 1 species